GCCAGUGUGGCAUAGUGGUUUGUGACUUAGAUUGCAACUCUGUAGGCCAGGAUUCAAUUCCCAGCUUGGCCA